GUAUUGUAUUUGCAUGUAGAGAGCUGUCUACGCAACGGCCAGGGGGCAUAUGCUUCUCCUAGCACUAAGACCUCCAUCCUAUUUGAGCCAGAAUGGCUUUGGUGCCCUCUCUCGCUCAUGGUGAGGCCGUGCAUGCUUGCCAUGUUGUGGCUACGAAAUCUCAGACUGAGUCGCUUCGGUCGGGCACUAUUCAGGGGAAUAUUUGUUCAGAAUCUUCAGUCUUGUAAUUUUCUCCUUGAUGACAAUGACCAUGCUGUGCUGGGGGAUUUGGGAUUCCAUCCUUGCUGUUUGGACUUCCGCUGCCAAAUCCAGAUCUUAUCCAAAGACUUGGGACUCCAAAUUACAUGCCCCAGAACAUUGGCGACCAAACAUCAGAGGCCCAAUUAGUUACGAGACUGACUCAUUGGGGUUUCGCUUGGAGCAUUCUUGAGAUGUUCAGUGGCGUUCAGACUUGGUGUGCCAAAUCACCAGAUGAGAUUUAUCAGUCAGUUGUCCUGAAGAAAGAGAAACCGAUGUUCCUGUACAAUUUACCUACGGAGGUCGCUAAUGUCCUCUCUGGCUGCUAUGAGUAUGAAUUUCGGGAUCACUCCUUGAUGUUAGAUAUCUUACAGUCAUUUGAAAUGUUGGAGGUGACACAUGAACGCUGGCAACGCAAAAUAGCAGAUAUAAAAUAACUGCAGCUCAGGCCAUGUAGUUCUACAACAACCAAGGAAGAAGUCCGUUUUUUAAGCCGACCUUGGCCAAGCAUUUAAGCUUAUAUGGUUGCUCUCUAUUUUUCAGAGGUGCGUGUACUGAGGACGCCCAUGAUUUAGGGCCAAAAAUCUAGACAAAGUGACAAAACUUUGUACGAGACUUACUUGAAGCCAAGGAGGUCAGGGGAGGAGGACAACAAGGCUGGGGAGCGGAGGCGGAGACCGACGGGGAAAAGAAUGAUCAAGCAUGUAAAUCUAGAGCACAAGCUCGUGAUUUAUCAAGGGAGCGGUGCUGCCGCCGGAUUAGAAAAUCAUAUCUCACGUUAAGGUGUUUUUGUCUUUUGUUUCUGUACAAAUUUGGUGCAGGCAAGUUUUUGAUGAUAUAUAUAAGAUGACUAGCAUUAUCUUUUUAUUGA